rnacentral:rRNA from 1 species
GGAGGAAAAGAAACUAACAAGGAUUCCCCUAGUAACUGCGAGUGAAGCGGGAAAAGCUCAAAUUUAAAAUCUGGUAGUCUUUGGCUGCCCGAGUUGUAAUCUAGAGAAGCAUUAUCCGCGCUGGACCGUGUACAAGUGUCCUGGAAUGGACCAUCAUAGAGGGUGAGAAUCCCGUCUUUGACACGGACUACCAGGGCUUUGUGAUGUGCUCUCAAAGAGUCGAGUUGUUUGGGAAUGCAGCUCUAAAUGGGUGGUAAAUUCCAUCUAAAGCUAAAUAUUGGCGAGAGACCGAUAGCGAACAAGUACCGUGAGGGAAAGAUGAAAAGAACUUUGGAAAGAGAGUUAAACAGUACGUGAAAUUGCUGAAAGGGAAACGCUUGAAGUCAGUCGCGUUGGCUGGGGAUCAACCUUGCUUCUUGCUUGGCUUACUUCCCAGUUGACGGGUCAGCAUCAGUUUUGACCGGUGGAUAAAGGUCAGGGGAAUGUGGCACCCUCGGGUGUGUUAUAGCCUCUGGUCAUAUACAUUGGUUGGGACUGA